rnacentral:rRNA from 1 species
AAAAGAAACUAACAAGGAUUCCCCUAGUAACUGCGAGUGAAGCGGGAAAAGCUCAAAUUUAAAAUCUGGUAGUCUCUGGCUGCCCGAGUUGUAAUCUAGAGAAGUGUUAUCCGCGCUGGACCGUGUACAAGUCUCCUGGAAUGGAGCGUCAUAGAGGGUGAGAAUCCCGUCUUUGACACGGACUACCAGGGCUUUUGUGAUGCGCUCUCAAAGAGUCGAGUUGUUUGGGAAUGCAGCUCUAAAUGGGUGGUAAAUUCCAUCUAAAGCUAAAUAUUGGCGAGAGACCGAUAGCGAACAAGUACCGUGAGGGAAAGAUGAAAAGAACUUUGGAAAGAGAGUUMARCAGUACGUGAAAUUGUUGAAAGGGAAACGCUUGAAGUCAGUCGCGUUGGCCAGGAAUCAGCCUUGCUUUUGCUUGGUGUAUUUCCUGGCUGAUGGGUCAGCAUCAAUUUUGACCGGUGGAAAAAGGUCAGGGGAAUGUGGCAUCUUCGGAUGUGUUAUAGCCUCUGGUCGUAUACAUCGGUUGGGAUUGAGGAACUCAGCACGCCGCAAGGUCGGGUUUUUAACCACGUUCGUGCUUAGGAUGCUGGCAUAAUGGCUUUAAUCGACCCGUCUUGAAACACGGACCAAGGAGUCUAACAUGCCUGCGAGUGUUUGGGUGGAAAACCCGAGCGCGUAAUGAAAGUGAAAGUUGAGAUCCCUGUCGUGGGGAGCAUCGACGCCCGGACCAGACCUUCUGUGACGGCUCCGCGGUAGAGCAUGUAUGUUGGGACCCGAAAGAUGGUGAACUAUGCCUGAAUAGGGUGAAGCCAGAGGAAACU